UUGGGAAGGAAGUUGAUCCUGGCUCAGAUUGAACGCUGGCGGCAGGCCUAACACAUGCAAGUCGAGCGGUAGAGAGGUGCUUGCACCUCUUGAGAGCGGCGGACGGGUGAGUAAUGCCUAGGAAUCUGCCUGGUAGUGGGGGAUAACGCUCGGAAACGGACGCUAAUACCGCAUACGUCCUACGGGAGAAAGCAGGGGACCUUCGGGCCUUGCGCUAUCAGAUGAGCCUAGGUCGGAUUAGCUAGUUGGUGAGGUAAUGGCUCACCAAGGCGACGAUCCGUAACUGGUCUGAGAGGAUGAUCAGUCACACUGGAACUGAGACACGGUCCAGACUCCUACGGGAGGCAGCAGUGGGGAAUAUUGGACAAUGGGCGAAAGCCUGAUCCAGCCAUGCCGCGUGUGUGAAGAAGGUCUUCGGAUUGUAAAGCACUUUAAGUUGGGAGGAAGGACCAUUACCUAAUACGUGAUGGUUUUGACGUUACCGACAGAAUAACACGGGCUAUCAUG
rnacentral:rRNA from 1 species